rnacentral:rRNA from 1 species
UGCUUGCCUCCGUACGAGUUUGGACCGUGUCUCAGUUCCAAUGUGGCCGUUCACCCUCUCAGGUCGGCUACUGAUCGUCGCCUUGGUGAGCCGUUACCUCACCAACUAGCUAAUCAGACGCAGGCCCAUCCCAUACCGAUAAAUCUUUGACCUACCUAGCAUGCACUAGUUAAGUUUCAUAAGGUAUUAAUAUUCGUUUCCAAAUGCUAUCCCUUUGUAUGGGGCAGGUUGCCUACGCGUUACUCACCCGUCCGCCGCUUUCCAUUUUAAAUUUCAUCCGAAGAAUCUUUUCAAAACUUCUCGCUCGACUUGCAUGUGUUAAGCACGCCGCCAGCGUUCAUCCUGAGCCAGGAUCAAACUCUAAUCGAAUUCCCGCUUGCCACA